rnacentral:rRNA from 1 species
UUAUAAGACGAGAAGACCCCAUGGAGCUUUAAGCUAGCUACACAUCUAUUUUCUAUAUCCUUUAAUUUAAUAGGACACUGCCUGCUCAGCUUUAGGUUGGGGUGACCACGGAGCAUAACAUAACCUCCAUGAUGUACGAGACUGUUCUCUUAUCUAAGAACUACAAUUCUAAGAAUUAGUAUUCUAACAUGCAAUGAUCCGAUAAUCGAUCAACGGAACAAGUUACCCUGGGGAUAACAGCGCAAUCCAUUUCAAGAGCCCCUAUCGA